ACGCUAUCACUCCUACGGGAGGCAGCAGUGGGGAAUAUUGCACAAUGGGGGAAACCCUGAUGCAGCCAUGCCGCGUGUGUGAAGAAGGCCUUCGGGUUGUAAAGCACUUUCAGUAGGGAGGAAGGUAGUGUAGUUAACACCUGCACUAUUUGACGUUACCUACAGAAGAAGCACCGGCUAACUACGUGCCAGCAGCCGCGGUAAUACGUAGGGUGCGAGCGUUGUCCGGAAUUACUGGGCGUAAAGGGCUCGUAGGUGGUUUGUCGCGUCGUCUGUGAAAUUCCGGGGCUUAACUCCGGGCGUGCAGGCGAUACGGGCAUAACUUGAGUACUGUAGGGGUAACUGGAAUUCCUGGUGUAGCGGUGAAAUGCGCAGAUAUCAGGAGGAACACCGAUGGCGAAGGCAGGUUACUGGGCAGUUACUGACGCUGAGGAGCGAAAGCAUGGGUAGCGAACAGGAUUAGAUACCCUGGUAG
rnacentral:rRNA from 1 species